UGGGAAAACUGCAGAUUCUGGAGGACCCCCCCCAAGCAACGUGAGAGCUCCUGUGUUAAGGAGGAUCACAAGACUGUGACUCAGAACCAGAAUGAAGCCGACGAGGAGAGGGGUGGGGGGAUCCCACACUGCUGCCAGCUACAGAGGGCUCAGCACCUGGGGACGGGCCCAGGGCACGGAGGACCAACCCCUGAGCCGCAGGAGCGUUGGCAGGUUUUGCUGUGAGGCCAUCAUUAUCUCGAGGGACGCCUUCCCCAGGAAGAAGCUGAGCAUGAAGACUCCCCCAGUUGCUUCCUGUGAAUCCAAGCCAGUGAGGGAACAACCUGCACUGAUCACUUCCGACAGAAGCAACCACAGAUGCAAGACAAGAAAAAGGAAGACGAGCAACUUUCUGCUCAGGAACCUCCCAUUGCUCCUGUAAAUCAUUCGGAGAGAUGAAUUGGAAGAUUUUAGAUAGCAAAAAGUAAUCCCUCCAUCAUGUUCCCAAAGGCCCCACAAAGAACCUUUGUUUGCUACCAACUGUAUCCCUGCUCUUUUCACCUCUCUAGGGAAACAUUUCCGAGCCAGUGGGCACACACGUGCAGGGUUUGCUGUAGAAAAGGAUAAAACGGCCGAACGGCACUCUCAUUAGAGAUCUUACAUUGCCAUCUUUUACUCUGCCAUGCUUGAAGCUAAACAUUGCUGGGGGGCUAGAGCAUUUCCUCCCCCCCAGAAUCUCACACUGCAACACAGAGACCCCUUUCAAAGCCUGAAGAGUCUGUUUGAAUAACUCAUCUGUUCUCAACAGCAGAAGCAAACUGCAAUCAUGAUAGUAAAGAUGGAGAAUGAGCAGAGAGCAUUCAGCCAUGUCCAGACACUAAAUCAGUUGAGUGAUAAAUAAAGAGAACCAAAAGUAUCA